CCUACGGGAGGCAGCAGUAGGGAAUCUUCCACAAUGGACGAAAGUCUGAUGGAGCAACGCCGCGUGAGUGAAGAAGGUCUUCGGAUCGUAAAACUCUGUUGUUAGAGAAGAACGUGCAUGAUAGUAACUGAUCAUGUAAUGACGGUAUCUAACCAGAAAGCCACGGCUAACUACGUGCCAGCAGCCGCGGUAAUACGUAGGUGGCAAGCGUUGUCCGGAUUUAUUGGGCGUAAAGGGAACGCAGGCGGUUUUUUAAGUCU
rnacentral:rRNA from 1 species